rnacentral:rRNA from 1 species
AGAGUUUGAUCAUGGCUCAGAGCGAACGCUGGCGGCGUACUUAACACAUGCAAGUCGAACGGGGAUCAUCGGUGUAGCAAUACAUCGGUGGUCCUAGUGGCGCACGGGUGAGUAACACGUGGGUAACCUGCCCUAGAGUUCGGGAUACCCCCUCGAAAGGGGGGCUAAUACCGGAUACGUUCCUCGGGUCGACAGAUCUGGGGAGGAAAGGUGGCGCAAGCUGCCGCUCUUGGAGGGGCUCGCGGCCUAUCAGCUAGUUGGCGGGGUAACGGCCCACCAAGGCUAUGACGGGUAGCUGGUCUGAGAGGACGACCAGCCACACGGGGACUGAGACACGGCCCCGACUCCUACGGGAGGCAGCAGUGGGGAAUUUUCCGCAAUGGGCGAAAGCCUGACGGAGUGACGCCGCGUGUGGGACGAAGGCCUUCGGGUCGUAAACCACUGUCAGUGGGAAAGAAGGGUGUCGACGCUAAUACCGUCGGCACCUGACGGUACCUGCAGAGGAAGCCCCGGCCAACUCUGUGCCAGCAGCCGCGGUAAGACAGAGGGGGCAAGCGUUGCUCGGAAUUACUGGGCGUAAAGGGCGCGUAGGCGGGAUGGCAAGUCGGUCGUGAAAUCCUUCGGCUCAACCGAAGAACGUCGAUCGAUACUGCUGUUCUUGAGGAUUGCAGAGGAGACUGGAAUUCCCGGUGUAGCGGUGAAAUGUGUAGAGAUCGGGAGGAACACCGGUGGCGAAGCGGGUCUCUGGGCAAUUCCUGACGCUGAGGCGCGAAAGCGUGGGGAGCAAACGGGAUUAGAUACCCCGGUAGUCCACGCUGUAACGAUGACGACUAGGUGUGGGGGGUUCAGUCCCUUCCGUGCCGCAGCUAACGCAUUAGUCGUCCGCCUGGGGAGUACGGCCGCAGGUUG